rnacentral:rRNA from 1 species
GAAGAGGGAAAAGCUCAAAUUUAAAAUCUGGUAGUCUUUGGCUACCCGAGUUGUAAUCUAGAGAAGCAUUAUCCGCGCCGGACCAUGUACAAGUUUUCCUGGAAUGGAGCGUCAUAGAGGGUGAGAAUCCCGUCUUUGACAUGGGCUACCGGGGCUUUGUGAUGUGCUCUCUAAGAGUCGAGUUGUUUGGGAAUGCAGCUCUAAAUGGGUGGUAAAUUCCAUCUAAAGCUAAAUAUUGGCGAGAGACCGAUAGCGAACAAGUACCGUGAGGGAAAGAUGAAAAGAACUUUGGAAAGAGAGUUAAACAGUACGUGAAAUUGUUGAAAGGGAAACGCUUGAAGUCAGUCGCGUCUGCUAGGAAUCAACCUUGCAUUUUUGCUGGGUGCAUUUUCUGGUUGAUGGGUCAGCAUCAAUUUUGAUCAGUGGAAAAAGUUCAGAGGAAUGUGGCACCUUUGGGUGUGUUAUAGCCUUUGUUCGUAUACAUUGAUUGAGAUUGAGGAACUCAGCAUGCCGUUAGGCCGGGUCUUUUGACUACGUUCAUGCUUAGGAUGCUGGCAUAAUGGCUUUAAUCGACCCGUCUUGAAACACGGACCAAGGAGUCUAACAUGCCCGCGAGUGUUUGGGUG